UGCAAGUCGAGCGGUAACAGAUCCAGCUUGCUGGAUGCUGACGAGCGGCGGACGGGUGAGUAAUGCAUAGGAAUCUACCCGGUAGUGGGGGAUAACCUGGGGAAACUCAGGCUAAUACCGCAUACGUCCUACGGGAGAAAGGGGGCUUUGGCUCCCGCUAUCGGAUGAGCCUAUGCCGGAUUAGCUGGUUGGUGAGGUAAUGGCUCACCAAGGCAACGAUCCGUAGCUGGUCUGAGAGGAUGAUCAGCCACAUCGGGACUGAGACACGGCCCGAACUCCUACGGGAGGCAGCAGUGGGGAAUAUUGGACAAUGGGCGCAAGCCUGAUCCAGCCAUGCCGCGUGUGUGAAGAAGGCCCUCGGGUUGUAAAGCACUUUCAGCGAGGAAGAACGCCUAUCGGUUAAUACCCGGUAGGAAAGACAUCACUCGCAGAAGAAGCACCGGCUAACUCCGUGCCAGCAGCCGCGGUAAUACGGAGGGUGCAAGCGUUAAUCGGAAUUACUGGGCGUAAAGCGCGCGUAGGUGGCUUGAUAAGCCGGUUGUGAAAGCCCCGGGCUCAACCUGGGAACGGCAUCCGGAACUGUCAGGCUAGAGUACAGGAGAGGAAGGUAGAAUUCCCGGUGUAGCGGUGAAAUGCGUAGAGAUCGGGAGGAAUACCAGUGGCGAAGGCGGCCUUCUGGACUGAUACUGACACUGAGGUGCGAAAGCGUGGGUAGCAAACAGGAUUAGAUACCCUGGUAGUCCACGCCGUAAACGAUGUCGACCAGCCGUUGGGUGCCUAGCGCACUUUGUGGCGAAGUUAACGCGAUAAGUCGACCGCCUGGGGAGUACGGCCGCAAGGUUAAAACUCAAAUGAAUUGACGGGGGCCCGCACAAGCGGUGGAGCAUGUGGUUUAAUUCGAUGCAACGCGAAGAACCUUACCUACUCUUGACAUCCUGCGAACUUGU
rnacentral:rRNA from 1 species